UAUGGCCAUAUAUCGUUGCAACACCGGUUCUUGUAAAAUCGUCGAAGUUAAGCAACGUAGAACUUGGGUAGUACCUAGACGGGCGACCGCUUGGAAAUAUCAAGUGCUGUAA